GCUCUGGUGGCCGGGGUGGUUAACGCUCCCCGCUUAACACGGUGUGGGCCUGGGUUCGAUUCCCAGCCAGAGUA